UGUAUAUUGGUGUAAAGUGCACAGAAAGUUUUGAUCUUUUAGGGAACAGUGUAAUUCUGUUAUAUAUAA
rnacentral:tRNA from 1 species